rnacentral:rRNA from 1 species
GACGAACGCUGGCGGCGUGCUUAACACAUGCAAGUCGAGCGGUAAGGCCCUUUCGGGGGUACACGAGCGGCGAACGGGUGAGUAACACGUGGGUGACCUGCCCUCAGCUCUGGGAUAAGCUUGGGAAACCGGGUCUAAUACCGGAUAUGACUCCAUGACGCAUGUUGUGGGUGGAAAGCCUUGUGCGGCUGAGGAUGGGCCCGCGGCCUAUCAGCUUGUUGGUGGGGUGAUGGCCUACCAAGGCGACGACGGGUAGCCGGCCUGAGAGGGCGACCGGCCACACUGGGACUGAGACACGGCCCAGACUCCUACGGGAGGCAGCAGUGGGGAAUCUUGCGCAAUGGGCGAAAGCCUGACGCAGCGACGCCGCGUGAGGGAUGACGGCCUCGGU